GCAGUGGCACAUGCCUUGUAGUCCCAGCUACUUGGGAGGCUGAGGCAGGAGGAUGGCUAUAGCCCAGGAGCUCUGGGCUGAAGUGCAUUGUGUCGAUGGGGUGUCCGCACUAAGUUCAGUAUCAAUAUGGAGACCACCUCAGAGUGAGGGGACCACCCUAGGAGGGUUGAACCAGUCCAAGUCUGAAACAGAACAAGUUAAAACUCCUAUGCUGCCUAGUAGUAGUGGGAUGGAGCCUGUGAAUAGCCACUGCACUCCAGCCCAGGCAGCAUAGUGAGACCUCUCUCUA
rnacentral:SRP_RNA from 1 species